AAGGAGAGACCCAGGAAGCUUGUGCCUUUUAAGGAUUCGCCAGGGUUGAUACAGACAUAGUGUAUGCCGCAUGCAUGUGCAUGUCCACAGAGGCCAAAAGAGAGCUUCAGAUCUCCUGGAACUGGAUUACAUGCAGCUGUGAGCUACCCGAUAUGGGUUCUGGGAACCGAACCCCUUGAAGGCACAUAUUUCUCAGGAACUGAUGUCCACUUUGAGAAGGGAUGGCAAGAGAGCAGGGAGGCCAUCUGACAAGCUUGUUCACACAGAAAUGUUACAGACGUAAUAUUACGUUUCUUCUCCCACGUGCUGCUAUUUUGGCAUAGACUAUUGCUUACCUCAGAAGACUAAAUUCCAAAUGGCAACUUACGGACACCAAGGAAGCUGUUCUGAGGCAGGAGAAUUACUCUGACUUCUUUAAACAACAUUGCAGCUGCAGGAAGGAAGAAUUUGUACAUAAAUGAAUUCCCUGAGACCUUGUGCAGAGCUGGGAAAGGGUGAGAAAGGGGGGGAGGGGAAAGCCCAUAACUGAUCCAUGAUAUAGUUACACUUCAGCUUUAUCCAGAGGCAGGGGAAAGCCCUAGUGAUUUGUCAGUCACCUGGCAGAUGGACUACCUGAGUCAGUGGUCAACUGGAGGUGCCUGACCUACAAUAUUGGUUCAUUCUCAAGCCAACAAGGCAAGCACAGGGUUCUCUACCAGACAGACACCCGAAUAGUAGGAACAGGCAUACACCCACACACAUGGAAUGCUGACUUUUUGUGGUCAAUGUUCUCUGUAACUCAGUCAGUGGGGACUUAGUUGAUUACUGGGUUGUGGUUGGGGCCCAGAGAUUGCAAAAACACAGCCAGCUUUUAUCUCAGGAAGCCUGUGCUCCCUUUUCAGAAAGAAAAAUUACUAUGACAAACAUGAAGACAGGCUAAGAGAAGAAGGGCAGGAGGGAAUAAUCUUUAGUUCAUCCUUCCUUACAAAGACAACAGUUGGCUUAGGUCAGAGCACCUAUAUGUUGUCAUGUGUCCAGUACUUUUCGAUGCAUUUAGUGUGUAAUAAUACACUCCAUUAUCAAAGCAACUGCUAGGACUUAAAGGCAUUCCUCAGAUUUCAUGAACUGGAAACCUCGACCUAGUGGAACAGCUAGAACCUCUGGGAGGUGACUAAAUCAUGAGAACUCUGCCUCUACAAAGAGGUCAAUCUUAGAAGUUAAUGGAUGUCACAGGAGAUGCUUUGUGAAAAUAUCAAGCUUGCUUUAGCAUGCUUGCUCUGUAGCAUCAUGCAAUGCCCUCCAUCAGCAGAUGCAGGCAAGAUAUCUACCAGUGCAUGCUCUUGGACUUCUAUAACUAUGAGCCAAAUAAACUUCUGUGCUCUAUAAUCAGCCAGUCUCAGGUGUUUCAGAGAUAACAGCAGAAAAUGAAGUAAGAUAACAACCC
rnacentral:lncRNA from 1 species